rnacentral:rRNA from 1 species
UACGGAGGGGGCUAGCGUUGUUCGGAAUUACUGGGCGUAAAGCGCGCGUAGGCGGCUUUGUAAGUUAGAGGUGAAAGCCCGGAGCUCAACUCCGGAAUUGCCUUUAAGACUGCAUCGCUAGAAUCAUGGAGAGGCUAGUGGAAUUCCGAGUGUAGAGGUGAAAUUCGUAGAUAUUCGGAAGAACACCAGUGGCGAAGGCGACUAACUGGACAUGUAUUGACGCUGAGGUGCGAAAGCGUGGGGAGCAAACAGG